rnacentral:rRNA from 1 species
UGCCAGUGAUAAACUGGAGGAAGGUGGGGAUGACGUCAAGUCAUCAUGGCCCUUACGACCAGGGCUACACACGUGCUACAAUGGCAUAUACAAAGAGAAGCGACCUCGCGAGAGCAAGCGGACCUCAUAAAGUAUGUCGUAGUCCGGAUUGGAGUCUGCAACUCGACUCCAUGAAGUCGGAAUCGCUAGUAAUCGUAGAUCAGAAUGCUACGGUGAAUACGUUCCCGGGCCUUGUACACACCGCCCGUCACACCAUGGGAGUGGGUUGCAAAAGAAGUAGGUAGCUUAACCUUCGGGAGGGCGCUUACCACUUUGUGAUUCAUGACUGGGGUGAAGUCGUAACA